GAGUAGCUCAAUGGUAGAGCGGGUGGCUGUUAACCACUAGGUUGGGGGUUCAAGUCCCUCCUC
rnacentral:tRNA from 1 species